UACGUAGGGUGCAAGCGUUGUCCGGAAUUAUUGGGCGUAAAGGGCGCGUAGGCGGCGUGACAAGUCACUUGUGAAAUCUCCGGGCUUAACCCGGAGCGGCCAAGUGAUACUGUCGUGCUAGAGUGCGGAAGGGGCUACUGGAAUUCUCGGUGUAGCGGUGAAAUGCGUAGAUAUUGGGAGGAACACCAGUGGCGAAGGCGGCUCGCUGGACCGGUUCUGACGCUGAUGCGCGAAAGCGUGGGGAGCAAACGGGG
rnacentral:rRNA from 1 species